GAAUAUUGCACAAUGGUGGAAACCCUGAUGCAGCGACGCCGCGUGAGUGAAGAAGUAUNUCGGUANGNAAAGCUCUAUUAGCAGGNCCGAAAAUGACGGUACCUGACUAAGAAGCCCCGGCUAACUACGUGCCAGCAGCCGCGGUAAUACGUAGGGGGCAAUCGUUACCCGGAUUUACUGGGUGUAAAGGGAGCGUAGGUGGCAAAUCAAGUCAGAAGUGAAAGCCCGGGGCGCAACCCCGGGAUUGCAUUUGAAACUGGUAUGGUAGAGUGCAGGAGAGGGAAGUGGAAUUCCUAGUGUAGCGGGGAAAUGCGUAGAUAUUAGGAGGAACACCAGUGGCGAAGGCGGCUUACUGGACUGUAACUGACACUGAAGCUCGAAAGCGUGGGGAGCAAAC
rnacentral:rRNA from 1 species